UACGAAAGGUGCAAGCGUUAAUCGGAAUUACUGGGCGUAAAGCGUGCGCAGGCGGUUUUGUAAGCCAGAUGUGAAAUCCCCGGGCUUAACCUGGGAAUGGCAUUUGGGACUGCAAGGCUGGAGUGUGGCAGAGGAGACUGGAAUUCCUGGUGUAGCAGUGAAAUGCGUAGAUAUCAGGAGGAAUACCGAUGGCGAAGGCAGGUCUCUGGGCUGACACUGACGCUCAUGCACGAAAGCGUGGGGAGCAAACAGG
rnacentral:rRNA from 1 species